AAGUCCAGCGGCGCCGCUGCGGCUUCCCUCAGUUUUUGCCUCCGAUGAGGCCCUUCCCGGUUCCCGUUUGAUAUAAUUUUUACACCACUGUGACCACCGUCCUUUUCUCUAUAGGUUAACCGGAGUAAAAUAUCAAAUCGCGACUCGCGCCGGAGAAGCCGCUGCACCCGAGAGCUCCGCCGCCGGUAAGUCUUAGUUUUUCGUAAUAUUUUAGCCCACCGAGGGCCUUAGGGGUGCUUUAUCACAGGAAUCAAUGCGAGUUUGGCCAAAAAUGGUCAACCCGAGGCGGAUCGCCGCCGCGAGCGGCGGUGCCGUCGCCAGAGCACGGCGGAGCCGCCGUGCCGGAGUUUUU
rnacentral:lncRNA from 1 species